rnacentral:rRNA from 1 species
AUUGAACGCUGGCGGCAGGCCUAACACAUGCAAGUCGAGCGGCGCGUGGGACGGGUGAGUACUGCCUAGGAAUCUGCCUGUUAGUGGGCGAUCACGUCCGGAAACGGGCCCUUAUACCGCAUACUCUCAGAUCGCCCUCGGUCGUAUUGGCUAGUUGGUGGGGUAAAGGCCUACCAAGGCGACGAUCCGUAACUGGUCUGAGAGUGUGAUCCGUCACACUGGAACUGAGACACGGUCCAGACUCCUACGGGAGGCAGCAGUGGGGAAUAUUGGACAAUGGGCGAAAGCCUGAUCGAGCCAUGCCGCGUGUGUGAAGAAGGUCUUCGGAUUGUAAAGCACUGUCAGCGGGGAGGCGUUACCCGCAGAAGAAGCAACGGCUAACUCCGUGCCAGCAGCCGCGGUAAUAC